rnacentral:rRNA from 1 species
UAGCUAGUUGGUAGGGUAAAGGCCUACCAAGGCGACGAUCGGUAGCUGGUCUGAGAGGAUGGCCAGCCACACUGGAACUGAGACACGGUCCAGACUCCUACGGGAGGCAGCAGUGGGGAAUAUUGGACAAUGGGGGCAACCCUGAUCCAGCAAUGCCGCGUGUGUGAAGAAGGCCUGAGGGUUGUAAAGCACUUUCAGUGGGGAGGAGGAUGCAUAGGUUAAGAGCUAAUGUAUUGGACGUUACCCUCAGAAGAAGCACCGGCUAACUCCGUGCCAGCAGCCGCGGUAAUACGGAGGGUGCGAGCGUUAAUCGGAAUUACUGGGCGUAAAGGGUGCGUAGGUGGUUGUAUAAGUUAUCUGUGAAAUCCCCGGGCUCAACCUGGGCAGGUCAGAUAAGACUGUAUGACUCGAGUAUAGGAGAGGGUAGUGGAAUUUCCGGUGUAGCGGUGAAAUGCGUAGAGAUCGGAAGGAACACCAGUGGCGAAGGCGGCUACCUGGCCAGAUACUGACACUGAGGCACGAAAGCGUGGGGAGCAAACAGGAUUAGAUACCCUGGUAGUCCACGCUGUAAACGAUGUCAACUAGUUGUUGGCCUUAUAAAUGAGGUUAGUGACGA